rnacentral:rRNA from 1 species
GAUGAACGCUGGCGGCGUGCCUAAUACAUGCAAGUCGAGCGAACAGAUGAGGAGCUUGCUCCUCUGACGUUAGCGGCGGACGGGUGAGUAACACGUGGAUAACCUACCUAUAAGACUGGGAUAACUUCGGGAAACCGGAGCUAAUACCGGAUAAUAUAUUGAACCGCAUGGUUCAAUAGUGAAAGACGGUUUUGCUGUCACUUAUAGAUGGAUCCGCGCCGCAUUAGCUAGUUGGUAAGGUAACGGCUUACCAAGGCGACGAUGCGUAGCCGACCUGAGAGGGUGAUCGGCCACACUGGAACUGAGACACGGUCCAGACUCCUACGGGAGGCAGCAGUAGGGAAUCUUCCGCAAUGGGCGAAAGCCUGACGGAGCAACGCAGCGUGAGUGAUGAAGGUCUUCGGAUCGUAAAACUCUGUUAUUAGGGAAGAACAAAUGUGUAAGUAACUAUGCACGUCUUGACGGUACCUAAUCAGAAAGCCACGGCUAACUACGUG